AAUGCCCUACCGUGUGCGAAGCGGGCUAGACAGUUUUGUUCCAACACCGACACAUCGGGAGCCUGGUCUCCGGCAGUGGAGCGCAUGCCACCUCGGGUCUUAGUGGACGCGCAAAGCUGCCGGGAGGGCACCCACCUGCAGAGCGCAGGGAUAUAAACAGUCGGCCGACACGGCACGGUGGGGUUUUU
rnacentral:other from 1 species